rnacentral:lncRNA from 1 species
GUGUGUGUGUGUGAUGUGUGUGUGUGGUGUGUGUGUGUGUGUUGUUGUGUUGUGUGUUGUGUUGUGUGUUGUUUUGUGUGUGUGUGUGUUGUGUGUGGUGUGUGUGUGUGUGUUGUGUGUGUUUGUUGUGUGUGUGUGGUGUGUUUGUGUUGUGUUGUGUGUGAUGUGUGUGUGUGUUUGUUGUGUGUGUGUGUUUGUUGUGUGUGAUGUGUGUGUGUGUUUGUGUUUUUGUGUGUGUGUGUGUGUGUUGUGUGUGAUGUGUGUGUGUGUGUUGUUUUGUGUGUUGUGUGUGUGUUGUUGUUGUGUGUGUGUGAUGUGUGUGUGUUGUUUUGUGUGUGUUGUGUGUGUGAUGUGUGUGUUGUGUGUGUUGUUUUGUGUGUGUGUUGUGUGUUGUGUGUGUGUGUUGUUGUGUGUGUGUUGUGUGUGUGUGUGUGUUGUGUGUGAUGUGUGUGUGUGUGUGUUGUGUGUUGUGUGUGUGUUGUGUGUGUGUUGUGUUGUGUGUUGUGUUGUGUGUUGUGUGUGUUGUGUGUGUUGUUUGUGUGUUGUGUGUUGUGUGUUGUGUUGUGUGUUGUGUGUGUGUGUGUGUGUGUGUGUUGUGUGUUGUGAUUGUGCAGUAUAUGUGUUGUGUGUGUGUGGUGUGUGGGGUGAGUGCAUAUGGUAUGUGUGGUGCCUGUGUUUGCAAUAUUUUUGUUUAUUGUGCAUGUGUGGUAGAUGGAUAGUAAAAGCGUGGAUGUGGUAUAUGUGUGGUCACUUUCUAUGGUAUAUGUGUGAUGUGCAUGUACAUUUAAUGUGUGUGGUAUAUAUGAGGAGUGUCUUGUGUUGUAUAUGUGUUGUGUGUGUGGUAUAUGGUAUAUGGUAUAGUGUUGUAUGUGUUUAGGGUUUUUGCGUUAUGUGUGGGGUUUGCAGUGUAUGUGCGGUGUGUGCAAUGUAUGGCUGGUGGGCUUAUGUUUUAUGUGUGUUAUGUGUGUCCUGUGUCCAUUGUGUCAUGUAUGUGAUGUAUGUGCGGUGUAUGUAUCAUAUCAUGGGUGUGUUGUGUGUGGUGUGUGUGUUUGUGUGUUGUGUGUUUGUGUGUUUGUGUGUUGUGUGUUGUGUUUUGUGUGUGUGUGUUGUUUUUGUGUGUUGUGUGUGUGGUAUAUGUGUGGUGUGUUGUGUUUUUUUGUGUUUUUGUGUGUGUUUGUGUGUUGUGUGUGUGGUAUAUGUGUGGUGUGUUUGUUCUG